rnacentral:rRNA from 1 species
GUGCCAGCAGCCGCGGUAAUACCGGCAGCCCGAGUGAUGGCCGAUCUUAUUGGGCCUAAAGCGUCCGUAGCUGGCCGACCAAGUCUCCCGGGAAAUCCACCCGCCCAACGGGUGGGCGUCCGGUAGAAACUGGCCGGCUUGGAACCGGAAGGCUCGAAGGGUACGUUCGGGGUAGGAGUGAAAUCCUAUAAUCCCGCACGGACCACCGAUGGCGAAAGCACUUCGAGAAAACGGAUCCGACAGUGAGGGACGAAAGCUAAGAUCGCGAACCGGAUUAGAUACCCGUGUAGUCC